rnacentral:rRNA from 1 species
UACGUAGGGCGCAAGCGUUGUCCGGAAUCAUUGGGCGUAAAGCGCGUGUAGGCGGUUCGGUAAGUCUGCUGUGAAAGUCCAGGGCUCAACCCUGGGAUGCCGGUGGAUACUGUCGGACUAGAGUACGGAAGAGGCGAGUGGAAUUCCCGGUGUAGCGGUGAAAUGCGCAGAUAUCGGGAGGAACACCAAUUGCGAAGGCAGCUCGCUGGGACGUCACUGACGCUGAGACGCGAAAGCAUGGGGAGCAAACAGG